GAUGAACGCUGGCGGCGUGCCUAAUACAUGCAAGUCGAGCGAAUGGAUUAAGAGCUUGCUCUUAUGAAGUUAGCGGCGGACGGGUGAGUAACACGUGGGUAACCUGCCCAUAAGACUGGGAUAACUCCGGGAAACCGGGGGUAAUACCGGAUAACAUUUUGAACCGCAUGGUUCGAAAUUGAAAGGCGGCUUCGGCUGUCACUUAUGGAUGGACCCGCGUCGCAUUAGCUGGUUGGUGAGGUAACGGCUCACCAAGGCAAAGAUGCGGAGCCGACCUGAGAGGGUGAGCGGCCACACUGGGACUGAGACACGGCCCAGACCCCUACGGGAGGCAGCAGUAGGGAAGCUUCCGCAAUGGACGAAAGUCUGACGGAGCAACGCCGCGUGAGUGAUGAAGGCUUUCGGGUCGUAAAACUCUGUUGUUAGGGAAGAACAAGUGCUAGUUGAAUAAGCUGGCACCUUGACGGUACCUAACCAGAAAGCCACGGCUAACUACGUGCCAGCAGCCGCCGUAA
rnacentral:rRNA from 1 species